rnacentral:lncRNA from 1 species
GUUAUAAUUUAGCCAUUCCCUAUAGUAAGUUUUCCACAAUAUCAAAAGGAGGCCUUGAAUAACUCUGCUUUAAAAAAACCCACCAUAUAUUUAUUUGUUUGCCCUAUAGAGAAGAACAUUUUAAAUCAGGUGGAGAAACUUCGAUGUGUCAAAUUCAGCCAUACUCCUGAAUUAUUUGUGCAUUUUGGAAAAUUUUACGUAAGACUUCAAAAGGAAGGAAAAACUGGGACAAAACUUUCCUCUCCAGUCACUUUCUGGAAAAAAGCGUUAAGGAAAACUGGUUUGCAAUGGAUGUGUAAAGCAGCAAGGAGUAAGUGGAUUUCAGUCUCUGAAGAGAAGAAACAAAGUACUGACGGAAGCUAACGGACAAAGGAAACAGAGCUGAGGAAAGAUAUCUCUGC